CACGGCGCACGGGUGCGUAACACGUGGGUAAUCUGCCCUCUGAUGGGGAAUAACUCGCCGAAAGGCGAGCUAAUUCCGCAUAACAUUCCUUGGACUCCGGUCCGGGGAUUCAAAGGCGUAAGUCGUCGGAGGUGGAGCCCGCGCACGAUUAGCUAGUUGGUGAGGUAAUGGCUCACCAAGGCUAUGAUCGUUAGCUGGUCUGAGAGGAUGGCCAGCCACACUGGAACUGAGACACGGUCCAGACUCCUACGGGAGGCAGCAGUGGGGAAUCUUGCACAAUGGGCGAAAGCCUGAUGCAGCGACGCCGCGUGGGGGAUGAAGCAUUUCGGUGUGUAAACCCCUUUCGAUCCGGACGAAACCCCGCAAGGGAUUGACGGUACGGAUAUAAGAAGCCCCGGCUAACUACGUGCCAGCAGCCGCGGUAAGACGUAGGGGGCCAGCGUUGUUCGGAAUUACUGGGUGUAAAGGGUUCGUAGGCGGUGCGGCAAGUUGGGAGUGAAAUCUCUGGGCUUAACCCAGAGGCUGCUUCCAAAACUGCUGUGCUUGAGUGUGGGAGAGGCGCGUGGAAUUGCAGGUGUAGCGGUGAAAUGCGUAGAUAUCUGCAGGAACACCCGUGGCGAAAGCGGCGCGCUGGACCACUAC
rnacentral:rRNA from 1 species